AACAAAGUAUGUUGUCCAAGUUAUCUAUAAUUCACACUAAAACCAUGCAAAGUAGGAUUUAUUUUCCAUUUUCCAGAUGGAGAGGCUGGCUGCACUUGAGCAAUUUUGCAGAAUUACGUGGAUUAUAAAUGUCAGAAGUAGGAUUUGAACCCAGCCUGGCUGCUUGUCCACUCCAUCACAUGCUUUCUACCUGCAAACCUGGGACGAAGGUCUGUUUCCAGAUCCAUGCAGAAAAGUAUCAGCAUUACCAGAGAAAGACCAAUGCACAGGAUGACUACAGGCAGUAGAACCCAGCUGAGCACAAGCUACGUGCUCCAGAGUAACGAAAGGAUCAAAUCAGGUGGGUGGAGUGAUUUGGAGAGUAGUUGGAUUGGAGCUAAGAGUUGGGUUAAGAGUUGGGUUAAGUUAGAGAAGAAGGCUGAUAUUGGGUGAUCAGACUAAGAUCAGUGAGAGGGCCAUCUGGUUGGCAAGAGUAAGAAUGCUUGCAGGGACUCUGACCAUUCGGGACACUGGCACAGGGGAGGGUAUGGUCAUCUGGUUGAUGCUCACAGAGGAAAAAUAGGUGAACACCAUCGGGAUAAGCCUGACAGUUAAUUGUAGUUCCCAAAGGACAGAUUGUACAACUGAAAGGUUGUUGUUCAAAGGGUUUAGUAGAGACGUGUACUUAGUAAUCAGUUAGUACAUAACAUAUGUACUAUAUGUACUAUAACAUAACAUAACAUAACCUAUAUACCCUGCGUAAGAUGUUUUAGUCACUAGAGCAAAGGAUGUGAGGUUUUGCUUGUUUAUUUGUUUGCUCUUUGUUAUUGGAGCUCAUCAUACUUGAAGUAUAAGCAGAAUCACUGCUUUAAUGUGAAUAAGGAACUUCCUUGGGAGGAGAAUAGGAGUUGAGUUCUUCAGUUACUGGGGAUGUGUUCAUGGGAAUGCUUUUCUUUGGAUCUCUAACAGGAGAUAAAAUUGAGAGACUUAGUAAGGUGAGGUGGGGUUGAGGGACUAAAGUUAUCAUAGAAGGAAUCUUUUAAAUAUCUUGUUCUUUAAGCCCACUGUUUCCCACAAAACAGGAAAAUGUUUGGUUCAGAACUACAUCCAUAUGAUGACAUUACAUCUGUGGCUUUUAAUAUAAGGAGUUCUUUUUAAGUUUUUUUAAGUUUACUUAUUUAUUUUGAGAGAAAGAGAGAGCAUGAGCAAGGGAGGGGCAUAGAGAGAGGAAGAGAGAGAAUCACAAGUAGGCUCUGUACUGUCAGCACAGAGCCUGACAUAGGGCUUGAAUCCACCCAUGAAACCAGGUGCAACCUGGUCCUGUCUGGUCCACUUCUCCAGGAGCUGUGGCAGGACUGACCUUCAUGACAGCCACUCAGGCUUCCUGGCUGCUGGACUGCAGGCGUCCUGUUAGGACCUACCACCUGCUCUCACAAGAGCUGGUUCCUGUGGUCUAUGCUGUUAAUAGACCUGUUAAUAGAUGCUGUUUUAUUCAGUAAUGGGUAAAGAAUAUUUGAUUUUGCUCCAUGUCUUAUUUCUAAUAUUUAUUUAAAACUGGGGAACCUGGGUGGCUCAGUCAGUUAAGCAUCCAGCUCUGAUUUCGGCUCAGGUCAUGAUCACAGUUCAUGAGUUCAAACCCUGCAUGGGGCUCUGCAGUAGCAGUGCAGAGGCUGCUUAAGAUUCUCUACCUCAAAAUAAAUAAAUAAACUUAAAAACA
rnacentral:lncRNA from 1 species